rnacentral:rRNA from 1 species
GAUGAACGCUAGCUACAGGCUCAACACAUGCAAGUCGAGGGGUAACGAGAGGAAAGCUUGCUUUCCUUGUCGACGACCGGCGCACGGGUGAGUAACGCGUAUCCAACCUGCCCCCAACUAGGGAAUAACCUUGCGAAAGUAAGACUAAUACCCUAUAAUUUCCUCAGAUGUCAUCUGACGAGGAAUAAAGAUUUAUCGGUUGUGGAUGGGGAUGCGUCUGAUUAGCUUGUUGGCGGGGUAACGGCCCACCAAGGCAACGAUCAGUAGGGGUUCUGAGAGGAAGGUCCCCCACAUUGGAACUGAGACACGGUCCAAACUCCUACGGGAGGCAGCAGUGAGGAAUAUUGGUCAAUGGGCGGAAGCCUGAACCAGCCAAGUAGCGUGCAGGAUGACGGCCCUAUGGGUUGUAAACUGCUUUUAUACAGGAAUAAAGUUAGCCACGUGUGGUUAUUUGUAGGUACUGUAUGAAUAAGGACCGGCUAAUUCCGUGCCAGCAGCCGCGGUAA